CCUACGGGUGGCAGCAGUGAGGAAUAUUGGUCAAUGGGCGCGAGCCUGAACCAGCCAAGUAGCGUGAAGGAUGACUGCCCUACGUGUUGUACACUUCUUUUAUAAAGGAAUCAAGUGAGGCACGUGUGCCUUUUUGUAUGUACUUUAUGAAUAAGGCUCGGCUAACUCCGUGCCAGCCGCCGCGGUAAUACGGAGGAUCCCAUCGUUAUCCGGAUUUAUUGGGUUUAAAGGGAGCGUAGAUGGGUUGGUAAGUCAGUUGUGAAAGUUUGCGGCUCAACCGUAAAUUUGCAAUUGAUACUGGCAGUCUUGAGUACAGUUGAGGUAGGCGGAAUUCGUGGUGUAGCGGUGAAAUGCUUAGAUAUCACGAAGAACUCCGAUUGCGAAGGCAGAUUACUAAACUGCCACUGACAUUGAUGCUCGAAAGUGUGGGUAGCAAACAGGAUUAGAUACCCGAGUAGUC
rnacentral:rRNA from 1 species